rnacentral:rRNA from 1 species
AGAACGAACGCUGGCGGCAGGCCUCAAACAUGCAAGUCUAGGGGAUGUAGCAAUACAUCACCGGCGGACGGGUGCGUAACACGUGGGAAUAUACCUUUCGGUACGGAACAACUGCGGGAAACUGCAGCUAAUACCGUAUACGUCCUUACGGAGAAAGAUUUAUCGCCGAAGGAUUAGCCCGCGUUCGAUUAGCUAGUUGGUGAGGUAAUGGCUCACCAAGGCGACGAUCGAUAGCUGUUCUGAGAGGAAGAUCAGCCACACUGGGACUGAGACACGGCCCAGACUCCUACGGGAGGCAGCAGUUGGGAAUCUUGGACAAUGGGGGAAACCCUGAUCCAGCCAUGCCGCGUGAGUGAUGAAGGCCUUCGGGUUGUAAAGCUCGUUUUACCCGGGAAGAUAAUGACUGUACCGGGAGAAUAAGCUCCGGCUAACUUCGUGCCAGCAGCCGC